rnacentral:rRNA from 1 species
UUCGCCCUUAGAGUUUGAUCCUGGCUCAGGAUGAACGCUGGCGGCGUGCCUAACACAUGCAAGUCGAACGGGGUUGACUUACGGAAGUUUUCGGAUGGAAGUGAGUCAACUUAGUGGCGGACGGGUGAGUAACGCGUGGGCAACCUGCCCCAUGCCGGGGGAUACCGCCUGGAAACAGGCGCUAAUACCGCAUAAGCGCAUACAGCCGCAUGGCAGUAUGCGGAAAGCUCCGGCGGCAUGGGAUGGGCCCGCGCCCGAUUAGCCAGUUGGCGGGGUAACGGCCCACCAAAGCGACGAUCGGUAGCCGGCCUGAGAGGGCGGACGGCCACAUUGGGACUGAGACACGGCCCAAACUCCUACGGGAGGCAGCAGUGGGGAAUAUUGGGCAAUGGGCGCAAGCCUGACCCAGCAACGCCGCGUGAAGGAAGAAGGCUUUCGGGUUGUAAACUUCUUUUCUCAGGGACGAAGAAAGUGACGGUACCUGAGGAAUAAGCCACGGCUAACUACGUGCCAGCAGCCGCGGUAAUACGUAGGUGGCAAGCGUUAUCCGGAUUUACUGGGUGUAAAGGGCGUGUAGGCGGGAAAGCAAGUCAGAUGUGAAAACCACGGGCUCAACCUGUGGCCUGCAUUUGAAACUGUUUUUCUUGAGUACUGGAGAGGCAGACGGAAUUCCUAGUGUAGCGGUGAAAUGCGUAGAUAUUAGGAGGAACACCAGUGGCGAAGGCGGUCUGCUGGACAGCAACUGACGCUGAGGCGCGAAAGCGUGGGGAGCAAACAGGAUUAGAUACCCUGGUAGUCCACGCUGUAAACGAUGGAUACUAGGUGUGGGGGGACUGACCCCCUCCGUGCCGCAGUUAACACAAUAAGUAUCCCACCUGGGGAGUACGAUCGCAAGGUUGAAACUCAAAGGAAUUGACGGGGGCCCGCACAAGCGGUGGAGUAUGUGGUUUAAUUCGAAGCAACGCGAAGAACCUUACCAGGGCUUGACAUCCCGGUGACCGCUGUAGAGAUACAGUUUUCCCUUCGGGGACACCGGUGACAGGUGGUGCAUGGUUGUCGUCAGCUCGUGUCGUGAGAUGUUGGGUUAAGUCCCGCAACGAGCGCAACCCUUAUUGUUAGUUGCUACGCAAGAGCACUCUAGCGAGACUGCCGUUGACAAAACGGAGGAAGGUGGGGACGACGUCAAAUCAUCAUGCCCCUUAUGUCCUGGGCCACACACGUACUACAAUGGUGGUAAACAGAGGGAAGCAAUACCGCGAGGUGGAGCAAAUCCCUAAAAGCCAUCCCAGUUCGGAUCGCAGGCUGCAACCCGCCUGCGUGAAGUUGGAAUCGCUAGUAAUCGCGGAUCAGAAUGCCGCGGUGAAUACGUUCCCGGGUCUUGCACUCACCGCCCGUCA